UAGUUUCGACAGUCGUUCAACUUAUAUGUAGUUGAUGCUGUUUAUUAGUAGGACCAUGAAUCGUGCUAUUAAUGUGUUGCUUUUCUCUUCCUUUUGUUUCAUACUUAUAUAUUGCUUAUAUAUUAUCUGUUAAUUGCUACUAACAUUUUGUUUGUCUAGUGCAUAGAGAUGCCGUCAUAUGUCGUGUACAAGGGUGAGGUUCCCGGAGUCUACGACGACUGGGAGGAGUGUCGGAGACAGGUUCACCGUUUCAGCGGUAACAGUUACAAAGGGUACUCCACUAGGGCGAAGGCCGAAGCUAGAUGUGCGCGCUAUCUAGCGAGAGAGAGGAGGGAGCGGAGGAGGAACCGGAUAAAGAUCAGUUUCAUCGCAAUGAUGCUCAUUGUGACCGCAACCCUCUUCAAUGUAAUGGUAGUUUAGAUAUCGACUUGUAAUGUGAAGACAAACUCGCUACUCGCGGUCUCGAGACUUGUAAUGUUCUAACUUUGUUCAUUAUUUUGAAUUCGGAGACUAAUAUGAUGAAUUGUAUUCGGAGACUAAUCUUUUAUUGUAUUCGAUAAAUCUGUUGUUUAUAUUCUGUGCUAUAAUGUAUUUUGCAUCGUGUGUAAAUA
rnacentral:lncRNA from 1 species